UACGGAGGGGGCGAGCGUUAUUCGGAAUUAUUGGGCGUAAAGGGCGCGUAGGCAGCCCGGUAAGUCAAAGGUGAAAUCCCUCGGCUCAACUGAGGAACUGCCUUUGAAACUGUCGGGCUUGAGGCCGGGAGGGGGUAGCGGAAUUCCCAGUGUAGCGGUGAAAUGCGUAGAUAUUGGGAGGAACACCAGUGGCGAAGGCGGCUACCUGGACCGGUUCUGACGCUGAGGCGCGAAAGCGUGGGUAGCAAACAGG
rnacentral:rRNA from 1 species